rnacentral:lncRNA from 1 species
GCUGUGUGUGUGGCUGUUCUUUUUUUACUCCCUGUCAGAUAAAGCUCAAGUAUCUUUAUAAAUAUGUAGCUUGCGUAGGUUAUUUCGUGAAUAACUGCUAGAAAAAAAUCUUUUUAAUUCUUUAAAUUCUCAAACCCAACAUUUGCCAUUUUUAAUUUACAUGUUUUUCUCGUAAGCUUCCGUCAAAUCCAAAGUUGACAUUUUGUAACUAAGGAGCCGCCAUGUUGACUUGCUGAAAUGAGUAAAUAUGCGAAUAAUGCAAUAGAAUAGAAAAUAAAACAAAACCUAC